rnacentral:rRNA from 1 species
UACGUAGGGUGCAAGCGUUAAUCGGAAUUACUGGGCGUAAAGCGUGCGCAGGCGGUUUUGUAAGUCAGAUGUGAAAUCCCCGGGCUUAACCUGGGAACUGCGUUUGAAACUACAAGGCUAGAGUGUGGCAGAGGGGGGUGGAAUUCCACGUGUAGCAGUGAAAUGCGUAGAGAUGUGGAGGAACACCGAUGGCGAAGGCAGCCCCCUGGGUUAACACUGACGCUCAGGCACGAAAGCGUGGGGAGCGAACAGG